UACGGAGGGUGCGAGCGUUGUCCGGAAUCACUGGGCGUAAAGGGCGCGUAGGCGGCCUGGCAAGUCGGUGGUGAAAGCUCGGGGCUUAACUCCGAGUCUGCCAUCGAUACUGCGAGGCUCGAGUCGACUAGAGGCAGAUGGAAUUCCGGGUGUAGCGGUGGAAUGCGUAGAUAUGUGGAGGAAUACCGAUGGCGAAGGCAGCCCCCUGGGAUAACACUGACGCUCAUGCACGAAAGCGUGGGGAGCAAACAGG
rnacentral:rRNA from 1 species